GCCCGUUUGGCUUAGUGGUACAGCGUCUCACUCGUAACCAUACGAUUUGAUCGUUAAUAUUACGCCUAUGAGAAGAUCCUCGGUUCGAUUCCGAGAAUGGGCA